GACGAACGCUGGCGGCGUGCUUAACACAUGCAAGUCGAGCGGUAAGGCCCUUUCGGGGGUACACGAGCGGCGAACGGGUGAGUAACACGUGGGUGACCUGCCCUCAGCUCUGGGAUAAGCCUGGGAAACCGGGUCUAAUACUGGAUAUGACUCCAUGACGCAUGUUGGUGGGGUGGAAAGCCUUGUGCGGCUGAGGAUCGGGCCCGCGGCCUAUCAGCUUGUUGGGUGGGGUGANGGCCUACCAAGGCGACGACGGGUAGCCGGCCUGAGAGGGCGACCGGCCACA
rnacentral:rRNA from 1 species